rnacentral:rRNA from 1 species
UACGGGGGGGUGCGAGCGUUGUCCGGAAUCACUGGGCGUAAAGGGCGCGUAGGUGGUUUGAUAAGGGUGUGGUGAAAGUCCGGGGCUCAACCCCCGGAUCUGCCGUGCCGACUGUCAAACUCGAGGGCUGUAGAGGCAGACGGAAUUCCGGGUGUAGCGGUGGAAUGCGUAGAGAUCCGGAGGAAGACCGGUGGCGAAGGCGGUCUGCUGGGCAGUUUCUGACACUGAUGCGCGACAGCGUGGGGAGCAAACAGG